UACGGAGGAUGCGAGCGUUAUCCGGAUUUAUUGGGUUUAAAGGGUGCGUAGGCGGUCCGGAAAGUCAGCGGUAAAAGCCCGGGGCUCAACCCCGGCGAGCCGUUGAAACUGUCAGACUAGAGACGGCGAGAAGUACGCGGAAUGCGCGGUGUAGCGGUGAAAUGCAUAGAUAUCGCGCAGAACUCCGAUUGCGAAGGCAGCGUACCGGCGCCGGACUGACGCUGAGGCACGAAAGCGUGGGUAUCGAACAGG
rnacentral:rRNA from 1 species